UGAGCCCAUGUGCCUGGCCUGUUGCUGUUUAUAAUGUAUUUAUUGUUAAAUGGCAGGCUCCCAGGGUGAUUUGAGAGUUGCCAGGACAGGGAGGCCAUUUGGCAAGAAUCCUGAUAGACAAAAGCUGGAGGAGGGUAGAGCAAGAUGGCGGAAUAGAAAGCUCCACCGAUCAUACUCCACCCCCACAAGGACACCAAGUUAACUAUCUACACAGAAGAAAUACCUUCAUAAGAACCAAAAAUCAGGUGACAUUUCUAGACACACCCUGGGCCAGAAGAGAACCCACUUCCUUGAAGGAAAGGAUCCAGUCCUGGCAGCAUUCAUCGCCUGCUACCUGAAGAUCCCUUGGGCCUUGAAUAACCGGCAGCAAUAUCCAGGUACUACAUCGAAGUCUUUGGGUGAACCUCUGAGACUUCCUGGCUUUAGAUUUGAUUGGAACAUAGCUAAUUCUUUCCCUGUGGGCAGAUCUUCAUGGGAAGCCAAAUUAUAAUCAGAAUAUUGUUCAUACCACAGCAUUAAGACAAGGUGAGUUAGUUGGAUCAUUUAAAUGCAUAGUACUGUUUGCUAUAAUUGCUCUAAUGGCCCAUCUCCUCAAUAUGGACUAGAGUAUUUACUCCCUGGGGAGACUGGUGUAUUUAUUUUGGAUGUCAGUGCCUACCCACCCCACCUCCUGAGUAGGGCCUUUUCAGGUUUUUAAAUUUUUCCAUGAUUUCUUGGCUGAUCAAAACCCUUGAUUAGGCCAGGCA